AAUAUAUUUAUUAAUACUGUGACAAACCAAAGUGUAUAAAACAUGUAAUAUUAUAUAUAUUAUGCAAUGAAUGUUUUAUCAUGGAAUAUUGUUUAUUUCGAUGGAGAUAGUUGGAGUUAAGAGUACUUAUAGGCGAGCGGUGAAAUGCAUUGACCCUAUUAAGACUAACAAAAGCGAAAGCACUUAACUAGAUUAUACUCUUUGUAUAUUAUUACAAUGAAGAGCGAAGGUUGGGGGAACAAAGAGGAUCAGAUACCCUCGUAGUCCUAUUUUUUACAUCAAACUAUGGGAUUUCAAUUGAAUAAUAUAUUAUUUUAUUACCCCUAACAUAUUUAAUAUUUAUUGAUUGAGAUAAAUAUUUAUCUCUCAUAAAAUAUAAAAUAAAUGUGGUACAAUAUUUAUUAUAUGUACUUUGAGCUCAUAUAAUUAAUAUAGGUGAGAUGUAAGCAUUAUAGGUGAACAAUAUAUUUAUAUUCUAAAUAUUAUUGGAAUCCUUAUAAAUAAAUGUAAUGUGAUG
rnacentral:rRNA from 1 species